GCGGAAAUAGCUCAGUUGGUAGAGUGCAACCUUGCCAAGGUUGAGGUCGCGGGUUCGAGUCCCGUUUUCCGCU
rnacentral:tRNA from 1 species